rnacentral:rRNA from 1 species
CCAUGGGCAGGUUGAAGGUUGGGUAACACUAACUGGAGGACCGAACCGACUAAUGUUGAAAAAUUAGCGGAUGACCUGUGGCUGGGGGUGAAAGGCCAAUCAAACCGGGAGAUAGCUGGUUCUCCCCGAAAGCUAUUUAGGUAGCGCCUCGUGAAUUCAUCUCCGGGGGUAGAGCACUGUUUCGGCUAGGGGGCCAUCCCGGCUUACCAACCCGAUGCAAACUGCGAAUACCGGAGAAUGUUAUCACGGGAGACACACGGCGGGUGCUAACGUCCGUCGUGAAGAGGGAAACAACCCAGACCGCCAGCUAAGGUCCCAAAGUCAUGGUUAAGUGGGAAACGAUGUGGGAAGGCCCAGACAGCCAGGAUGUUGGCUUAGAAGCAGCCAUCAUUUAAAGAAAGCGUAAUAGCUCACUGGUCGAGUCGGCCUGCGCGGAAGAUGUAACGGGGCUAAACCAUGCACCGAAGCUGCGGCAGCGAACGUAUCACUUAAAGCGAUUCAGCGGGUUACGAUUGACGGAGCGAAGCGACGUCAAAGCGUAUACAAAGUCGAGUCGGUUUAAGGAUACGUUCGUUGGGUAGGGGAGCGUUCUGUAAGCCUG